rnacentral:rRNA from 1 species
AAAUAGAACCUGAAACCAUUAGCUUACAAUCAUUCGGAGCCCUAUGUCUUGUCAGGGUGACGGACUGCCUUUUGCAUAAUGAGCCUGCGAGUUGUGGUAUCUAGCAAGGUUAAGCCAAGUGCGGAGCCGUAGCGAAAGCGAGUGUUAAUAGCGCGAAUUAGUUAGAUGCUGCAGACCCGAAACGAAGUGAUCUAUCCAUGAGCAGGUUGAAGCUGGUGUAAGAGCCAGUGGAGGACCGAACCCGCAGGCGUUGAAAAGUCUUGGGAUGACUUGUGGAUAGGGGUGAAAGGCCAAUCAAACUUCGUGAUAGCUGGUUCUCUCCGAAAUAUAUUUAGGUAUAGCGUCAUGUUAUUAGCAUAUAGGGGUAGAGCACUGACUGGGCUAGGGCUACUUACCGUGGUACCAAACCCUAUCAAACUUCGAAUACUAUAUGUGGAAUCAUGGCAGUCAGGCGGUGGGUGAUAAAAUCCAUCGUCGAGAGGGGAACAACCCAGACUACCAGCUAAGGUCCCUAAGUCAUACUUAAGUGGAAAACGAUGUGGAGUUACUGUGACAACCAGGAAGUUGGCUUAGAAGCAGCCAUCUUUUAAAGAAAGCGUAACAGCUCACUGGUCUAGUGAUUCUGCGCGGAAAAUAUAACGGGGCUAAAGUAUGCACCGAAGCUGUAGAUUCAAUUUAUUGAGUGGUAGGAGAGCGUUCUAUUCAGCAUUGAAGCCAUACCGGCAAGGAGUGGUGGAGCGGAUAGAAGUGAGCAUGCAGGCAUGAGUAGCGAUAAUUAAAGUGAGAAUCUUUAACGCCGAAAACCCAAGGUUUCCUACGCGAUGCUCGUCAUCGUAGGGUUAGUCGGGUCCUAAGUCGAGUCCGAAAGGGGUAGACGAUGGCAAAUAGGUUAAUAUUCCUAUACUUAUAAUAGAGCGUGAUGUGGGGACGCAUAGAGUUAAUCGAGCUGGCUGAUGGAAUAGCUGGUCGAAGGAUGUAGGUUGUAAAGUAGGCAAAUCCGCUUUACAUUAGACCGAGAUCUUACAGGCCGAACAAUAUCUUCGGAUAGCGUUUGGAAUCGAUGAUACUGUCGUGCCAAGAAAAGCCACUAAGCAUAUCUAUUAUAACCCGUACCGUAAACCGACACAGGUAGGUGGGAUGAGUAUUCUAAGGCGCGUGGAAGAACCCUGGUUAAGGAACUCUGCAAACUAGCACCGUAUCUUCGGUAGAAGGUGUGCCUACUUUGGUAUUAGGAAUUUACUUCCGAAAGCUAGAGAGGUUGCAACAAAGAGUCCCUCCCGACUGUUUACCAAAAACACAGCACUUUGCUAACUCGCAAGAGGAUGUAUAAGGUGUGACGCCUGCCCGGUGCUCGAAGGUUAAUUGAUGAUGUCAGCGUAAGCGAAGCAUUUGAUCGAAGCCCGAGUAAACGGCGGCCGUAACUAUAACGGUCCUAAGGUAGCGAAAUUCCUUGUCGGUUAAAUACCGACCUGCAUGAAUGGCGUAACGAGAUGGGAGCUGUCUCAACCAGGGAUCCAGUGAAAUUGUAGUGGAGGUGAAAAUUCCUCCUACCCGCGGAAAGACGGAAAGACCCCGUGCACCUUUACUAUAGCUUGACACUGCUAUUGGGAUAUUCAUGUGCAGGAUAGGUGGGAGACUUUGAAGCUGGGAUGCUAAUUCCAGUGGAGUCAUCCUUGAGAUACCACCCUUGAAUAUUCUGAUAGCUAACCGGGAUGAGUUAUCCUCAUUCGGGACAAUGUCUGGUGGGUAGUUUGACUGGGGCGGUCGCCUCCUAAAAAGUAACGGAGGCUUACAAAGGUUGGCUCAAUCCGGUUGGAAAUCGGAUGUUGAGUAUAAUGGCAUAAGCCAGCCUGACUGUAAGACAUACAUGUCGAGCAAAGACAAAAGUCGGUCAUAGUGAUCCGGUGGUUCUGUGUGGAAGGGCCAUCGCUCAAAGGAUAAAAG